UGGGGACACAGCCUGGGCACCGCGUGUCACAGCAGAGCCUGGGGACACGGCGUGGGGACUUUGCACCGCUGCAGGGCCUUUGCUCUCCGGAGCUGGAAUGACAAACAGGAAGAUGUGUUUGUCCCUGUCCCACGGACACGGGUGGCUCUCGGCUCCCUGGCCAUUCACGGUUCGUGCACUGAUCAGGACACUGAUGGGACAGGGAGUUUCUCGUCCCAGAACUCCCAAAACUUAGAGCACCUUUGUUCACCUUAGAUGGGGACCUGAAAACUGUCAUAUUGUCAAAGCUUUUAACGCCUUUCAGCUGGUCUUGGGACAGCGGUAGGAGUUUAAAAGCUUUUCUGUAACAAAACUUCAUCUGAAGUUGUUCUUGCAAACGGCUUUUACCUCUGGCAACCACCAGCGGAGCCAAGUCCUCAGGCUUCCAACUCCAACUGCAUCGCUCUGCAAAAUUAGUAACGUAAUUAACAGUAAUGUAAAUAAUUUCAUUGCAAGCACAGCACUCUGUAAAUGGCAGAGCAAAAGCAGCAGCAGCCUCACGGAGCCCAGGUGGGUGCCUGUUGCAGUCUGGUAGAUCUUUGAUGAAAUGAUGCUGUGAACAAUCAAACACAUUCCUCUGGAAGGAGAAAGAAGUGAUGUUGGUGUCUUUAGUGAAGAUUCCUUCCUGUUACUCAAACCAUUAUUGAGAUAAAAAGAGCAAAAGGAGAAGAAGAAUGUUUAUGUAUUUAUUAUCUUAAAUACAUAAAUAUAAUAUUUUUCCUUUUUGUAAAUCAGCAGAUUGCAUAAAAUGUUACAUAUUUUCAAGGACAUUAUGAGGGAAUAUUCUGGAAGAUAAUUUUUUUCUUUAGGUACCUGAAAGGCCACACAGACCUAUGGCUUUUUAAUAUGUUAGUCAGAGUUUAACAUCCUAGUCAUGAACACAGAAGAAUAUUAGUAUUACUGAUGUUUGAAAAGCUCUUCAAAUACAGACUGUGCCUUUGAGUGUCUCACAAAUACCACUAAAGCAAAAGUAUGGGAAAGCACUGGAAAAGUGAAUUAUUUUUCUGUUCUUAUUUGGAAUAAGGUUAUGUGGCUCUUAAGUACAGAAGCAGAAUAAACACUUCCAAGUUCUUUUUCAGUUUGAAGCAGGAAGACAAGAAGGUACAAUGACAGUGAUGGAACACACCUUAGUACAUUCAACUGCCAAAAAAGAACAAAUUAUGGUAAUUUAAAGUGGGCUCUGGAGUAUGCAGCAGCCUGAUAAUUAACAGAGGCAGGGAAUUUUGUUAUUAUCUGUGCUAGAUGCCCCAAACAAUGAAGGCUGCUGAGAACCAAGGAAGUUCUGUCAUUGAUCUGUGAAGCUGUCCGUGCACAUUGAGUACCAACUCUGAUUUCUGCUCCCGCUGAGAGUUGUGCAGGAGCACAUCCCUGGCCAGCCUUCACGCGGCUCCCAGGGCCAGGCCCUUGGCAGGGGGAGCCCAGAGGCACGAGCAGCAGAGCAGCACCCACUGCUGCCCUGCUGGGCUCAGCACUGCUCCACAUCCAGCCACUGUCGGUGUCACUUGAUCUCUGCCUGAUCUCAUUUGAGAAAGGAGACAGAAAUGUGCACGAGGGACUCGCUCUAAUUUUUAUUUUUAGGCAGAUCUUCACAACCUUGAACAACUAUCAAGAAGAAGAAGAAGCCAGUGCUGUAAACAAACUCUGAACUAGAAAUUAAAAUUCACACAGUAAGGUCAGAAGAUUGCAAAGGGUCUGCACAGAGGCUCCUCAGUUCCACUUCUGUGGUGUCAGAGUGUGUCCCCUCUGUCCAUCCACCUGCCUCUAGGUACCAGCUGCCUCCUGUGAAAAAUUUGACUGUCACCUGCUGUACAAGUCUGUCUGACAUUCAAGACUGUACAUAUUCAGGUCAGAAGUAUUAAAACAGGCAUGAGAAAUUGUAUCUUCAUUUACUUCCCAAUGAAGAUUUGAACUAUAAUGAAAACAUGGUUUUGAAAAAUUGGUUUACAUUAAGGAAGGUUUAGAGGAUAAGAUUGUAGAAAGAGAAAUGUUUGGUUGAUUUUCUCAAGUUGCUUUAAACGUUGUCUUAAGCAGCUUGUUAGGAUUCUUUACAGCAGUGAGAUGCUUGUAUGAAAUGGUAAUAAACUUUUAGAAGUGUGACAUGGACUAGAUUAGCUUCUAGAUAAAUUUCUGUGAAUUUUAAAGCGACAGUCAGUUGUACACUUAGUGUACCAGUGUGGAUGGAUUAGUAGUACCUUUUAAAACAAAUUAAGUGAUUUAGGAUUUUAGGCUUAGAGGAGGUGCAUGUAAUGUCUACUCAUUUGAGAAUGGAAUUUUAUAGACAAAUGGUAAUUUUUUUGUCUUCCUGAUUAAUGUUUUAGGGUACAGACAUAACAGUCAAGGUCUGAACAGGCAACAAGUUCUGUUUAUUAACUCCAGACAACCUUCUACACUAAUCCUCAGCAGACAUGUGAAGAAAUCAGCAACAAUGGUUUCAGCACAGUAGUUCAAUUACUCUGAAAACUAGACAUAGAUUUUACUGAGGGCAAAUCACAGAGGGGAGUAGAGAAUAUGUCAUACUGUGGGGCAGAAUGCUCAGAGGGAGGAUAUCCCAUUGCAAAGGGAAAUGGUGAGGUAAUGGUAACAUCAUUUUAUAAACUGCAUACACAUCAAUGACAACUUAAAGCUUAGUGCACUGGAAUGUCCUGAAGUAACAGAAAAAGAAUUCAUCUGACCAGAUGACAGGCACAGAACGCUGUUAAUGACAAUGCCAGCAGUAAAAACAAGAGGAAUUUUGUAGACUUAUAUUGACCUGUGCUGCAGACCAACAUUCCUUGUGUGUGUGUCAAAGUUAUCUAUCUUUUGCUUCCACAAAAUAUUAGUAUAAGAAAAUAUGACAAAAUCUCUGAUGAAUCUACCAUAUGGUGUUGCCUACUAGCAAUGAAGGCCCAUGAAAAAUGGGCCCAAAUUAUGCUGCACAUUCUCCAAGAAAAUACAUUGGAAGUUCCUGAAUGUCCAUAAAAAGUAGUGCAAUACAAAUCAAAAUAGUAACAGUGUCCUGAGCACUGUUAUUGUGCUGGCAAAGCAUCAGUCUUUGUACUUCCUGAGAGCAACACCCAGCAAAUUGGUGUGACCAGGGAAAACAGAGGUGUGGUCAGAACCACGUCUGGUACGAAAUGAUGAUGUUGACAAUCACACGGUUUGUUAUUUUGUUAUUUUCAGUGUGGGAAGUGAAGGCUCCUGUGCCAGCAUAAUGUCCAGAAGCUCUGCUAAAAACACCAACUACCAUUUAGCAGUUCCUGACCAGUGGUGCUUCUUGGGGCUGUAAAGGAUCCCAGCAAGGGUCACAGCUGGCAGCUGUGUCACAGCUUCACCGAGGCUGGAAUGGAGUUCAUGAUGUGAUGUCACACAAUUCAUGAUGCUGCCACUGCUUCCCACAGGAGCCUGUCAGGUUUCAUCUAGAUAAAAAGUGUAAACCAAAUCAGUGGCGCUCCACAAGAAGACCGAAUAUGAAAAAGAAGCCUGCACAUUUUUUCCUUAUUGCUAAUCCAUUGGUUUAUGGUGAGGAAGCAGACAGUGAGAGGGCACAGAAGGGAGCACAUUCCCUCUCUGCGAGGGCUGAGCUCAGUGCCCAUGGAUGAGCCCACAGCGGAAGGCAGACAACACAGACUCUGACACAGACUCUUCUCUCCUGCCAGAGGGGACUGGAAGUGAUCUGAAGUGCAAAAAGAGACAGAAACCACUGACUUCAGUGGAAUGUGAAACAUGCUUUCUCCUUUGUCUUCCAGCAUGUUUGACUGUUCAAAGAAAACAUUGUCUCUAGCUUUGAAUCUUUCCAGCUAUAACAUCAGUCAAAGCUAAAAGGUGCUGAGCCCUUUCUGAGAAGGUGCAGAGCCCCAUGAAUUCCCAGUAAGGCAGGAAAUGCUGAAGGAACAGCCUUCCAACACUGAAACAUGCUUGCAGCUUUCAAAACCUAGUGUGUAAUAAAACUGCCCUGCUGGUACUAAAUCUAAUCAGUACCACGUGGCCCAUCUCCCAUGUAAGCAUGUUUUGGAGAAUACUUUCUACAAUAGCUCAUCUGUGGAUUCAACCACAAAUGAAAUGUCUUGCUUACGUUGCGCUCCCUUUCCUGCCUGCCUGCACAGAGUAAAAUGAACUUUUUCUUCAGUUAUCAGGCAGUUUGUCUUUCUCUCUUCUUCAGUCCCAAUAUAUUCAGCAUCCCUCCAGGGUUAUUGUAUUUCUAAAUUCGCUGUAUGCACAUAGAUGCAUACACAUGCAAAUAUAAAGAGAGCACGACAGUUUCCUAUAGCAAUGCAAAUGGGAAAAAUAUGGAAUUCUUCUGACUAAAAGACUUUAUGAAGCAUUCUGUCACUGAAAAGCUUUUAGUUCUAAUUAUACAUAUCUGAAAUCAACAGAGUCCUGUGAAUUGCUAAGUAUUUUAGGUAACAAAAAUAAUACCUUUCCAGUGAGACCUUAAAUCUUGUAAAGAAAUAUGGAAAUCAAAAUUACUAAAAUUUUUCAAAGUGUAGCUGUUUUCUUACUUAUACACUCCCACUAUCCACUGAGCCACUUGGCCACUCACCAGCAUCUCUGAGGAACCUUUCUACCCACAGUUAGAGCUUAUUACCAUUCCUUAGGAAAAAUGUUUUGGAAAAAAUAUUUUAAUUUUCAUCUGUGUUAAAAGCUUGCAGGUUCUCUUUUAAUUUAUUGGAUUCCUGGGAAAAAUGGGCUUUUCUAGCCCUUCCACACUGGCCUCUCCAUGUCCUUUCCUGCACUAAAAUUCUGUGUUCCUUACACAGUAUACAGCAAUUCCCUAAUUCUUUGCUUCCUGAGAGAUGAAAGAGUGGAUCAUUCCUUGUGGAUUUGUGAUAAUAUUAUCACUGGACUGCCAGCCCAGCUCUGCAUGCCUUAUAUUGCUAAAAUGAGUCAGCUUUUGAUACAAAAUGGUUUCAUUUUCUUGACUGAAAUUUGAACAGGUUUCUGGUGUGCUUGCCCAGUUUACUUUGAGAGAAGUCACAUACUAGUUUGGGUUUCAUUCUUAGAGAGCUCACUUGUCUUCUGAGGUAAUCCUACUGUUGUUUACACACUGUCACUCCUGAAUGGUAGAGGAGGAUCCUCUGAUCUGACACAGGAAAUCAUGGACUAUUCUCUAAUUGACCAAAAGUGCAUUUUUUAAGUCAAUCAUAGAGCACAUAUGAAUGAAUGAAUGAAAGAAAACCAACUGGAAUAUAUUUGUAAUUUCCUCAAUAUUUUGGUCUCCUUAAAAGCUCUCUGAGAAACUAAACAUAUUUCAUUAGCAAUAAUCAGUUAGCCAUAACCCACUUGUGAGUUACUGUCCCAUUUUAAAGGUGAGGAAAUAACACCAAAGAGAUCAAAUGACUUCUUUUGAGUCAUAGGAGAAACAUCAAUGUUGGUAUUCCAGCAACAUGCAGAGGCUGCAUCUGAGAUUUAUGCUUUAAGGGCUGCACUAAUGAACAGCCUCCAGUCCCACAGAACUGAAAUCCUAAAUGAAGAUAAAUAAGAGGUAAUGGUAGGAAUGGAAGGACAAGAGGGGUAAGUGACUUUGCUGGAGUCACACAGACAAACCCAGUUCUCUGAUGCCACACCGAGAUAAACAGUAUAAAUGUCAAACCUGCUUCCUAGACAAAGUCCAGACAUGGUGUUCUAUGCCAGAAGAGCUAAACUACCCUUUUCUCUCCCCCAUCAACCUUUUCUCACUCUUCUUCCAUUUUUAUACGCUCUUAAUCACAAAUGUUAUUCCAAAGGUUUUCUGGUUUCUAGAUAUCUUCUUGGAUGGGAAACAAAGCCUAAGCUUUCUCAGGAGAGAGAGCUAAAUUCUCCUGUAAAACAGAUACAUAGUCAGCCAGAACAUGACCCUCCCUUUAGCUCUCAAAGCUGCAAAGACUUUAUAAUGCAUGUUCCAUCAAUGCUUUGGCAGAACUAUUCCAGUAAUGAUUGCAGGGAAUAUAAUAUUGCAGGGAAGCAAUAAAUUGGGAAACACCUCUUAUAAAACUUCUUAUGUACAAGUCCAGAAGAUAUAGUAAAUGUUUGCAUUUUCCCUAUUUCUUUUAUUUCAGUUAGCAAUCUACAUAGGUUCCUCUCUAAUAAACCAACAAGUCAACCAUGCUUCAUAAAAAAGUUAAUGGUAAUUAGAAGUCCAAUAGGAAAUGAUCAGGAUUAUUAAUAUGUUUUUGGGAUUUUCUUACAGUUUGGUUACCUUCAGGAUUUAUGUGAAAGAUUAAAUUAUCUAUAUAACCAGUUUUGGAGCUAUUAUUUAUUAUACUUGAUUACCAAGAGUCAAUGUCUUGGUAAAAAUCAUAUUGCAGAAAGCAUGAGUUAUUGUGGAGUAACCUCUGGUUCAAUGAGACCUGGAGCGGCCAAAUCCCACUCCCAGGGGAGCAAGAACUCUGCUGUACUCCUCCUUCUCAUCUCCCAGUUGAACAAGAAGUGCAAAGAAGCAGAUAGGGGGGCAAUUCUUGGGUUCUGUUCACAACUAGAGUUUUAGUGAGACUGUAUGAGUCCACAUGAAAUGUGAAAUAAAUGUAUUUCUUUUCAAAACUGCAAUCUUUGAAAGACAACAAAAGAUUGUUGUCUCUUACAUAGGCUAUCUGGGCUGCUUCUAAGAAUGGCUCAGAAAGAAGUCUUCUGUUAGCUGUAAACAUUAUACCAUGGAGGUUUUACCUAAAGUUUAUAUUGACUAUUUAAUACCUUAUUAUUUGAGUGUCUCUAUAUAAAGAUUAAAAAUAAAAGGGUUUUUUAUCAUGAUACUGAAAACUAAGUACCCCUCCUCCUUCACCUAGAAAAGAAUGUUAUUUUUUUCUGUAAGAAAAGUGUUUUUAUACAAAAGCUAAAUCUUGUUAAAUUGAGUCUAAAGCAAUUAACCUAUUUCUUACUGUCAGAUUCAAUUGUAAUUUGACCUAAAUGAAGACUAAAACCUGUGCUAUACCAAAUGACAUUUUUGUGUUGAGCCUGAAAAAACAGCACAACUGAAACAGGUUGUGCACAUCUGAAUGAAACAAACUCAAAUGAGGGGCUGCUUUAGGAUCGGUGUUUUGGAGGCUGGCUAUUUUUUUUCAGUCAAGGGUAAAGUAUAUAAUCAGAAAUUCAGUGUGUAAUUUGUAUUGUUUUUUUGGUUUUUUUUGUUUUUU